UUUUCUACAACACAACACACACAUACACUACUAUAUUAACACAUUAACACACACACGAAGAAGAGACAUUUCUUUUUCUGCCAACUACAAAAAGAAAAAGAAAAAAUAGGCACCAAAACAACACAGAAAAAAAAAAACGUACAGAAAAAAGGAAAAAAAACAAAAAAACCAAAGAAGACAAUACAACCAAUAUACACACAAACACCACACCAAACGUACAAGAAAAACCAAAAAAACAAAAAAAAAACGCAGCAAUGAGAAG
rnacentral:lncRNA from 1 species